ACGAAACCUAUCCCAUUGGCUGUGCUCUAGCCAAGAGGAGGUUGUUAUAAACAUCCAGUCAGAUCUUCGGAAACGCAUUUAAGCUCAGACCUUGGGGUCUGUUACCCCCAAAAUUUGCUUCUGGCCAAGAUUGCGGCAGCUGUGUUAGGAGGAGCCUGCCCGUGGUGGCUGUGCCCACGGUGUUGGGCUCCAUGGGCUUCCCCGGGCAGGAAUCGCCGCCUCCUCGCUGGUGGCCAAGAUGAAGUCCUCAGCUGCCAUUGCCAAAGGGGGUGGAGUCGCCACCGGCAGCCUGGUGGCUACGCUGCAGUCCGUGGGAGCAGCUGGCCUCUCACUGUCAUCCAAGGUCAUCCUGAGCAUCGCUGGAUCUGUCCUCAUGUCCCGCAUGGUGGGCUUGUACUAGUUUCCCACCUCUCCACCUGCAGAGAAGAGGGCCAGGUGGAGCCCCGCCCACCAGGCAGAUGCAGGGAGGGACCAGUCCCUGGGUGACACUGCACCCCCGGAGGAAAAUAAAGAAUAAAAAUUGUUGUUGCAAGCC